rnacentral:rRNA from 1 species
CGGCGGACGGGUGAGUAACGCGUGGGUAACCUGCCUCAUACAGGGGGAUAACAGUUGGAAACGGCUGCUAAUACCGCAUAAGCGCACAGUACCGCAUGGUACGGUGUGAAAAACUCCGGUGGUAUGAGAUGGACCCGCGUCUGAUUAGGUAGUUGGUGGGGUAACGGCCUACCAAGCCGACGAUCAGUAGCCGACCUGAGAGGGUGACCGGCCACAUUGGGACCGAGACACGGCCCAA